rnacentral:tRNA from 1 species
GGUGCAUUAGCUCAGUUUGGAUAGAGCAUUCGCCUCCUAAGCGGAAGGUCCCCUGUUCGAGUCAGGGAUGCAUCGCCA